AGGGGGCAAGCGUUAUCCGGAUUUACUGGGUGUAAAGGGAGCGUAGACGGUAAAGCAAGUCUGAAGUGAAAUGCCAGUGCUCAACACUGGAACUGCUUUGGAAACUGUUUGGCUGGAGUGCAGGAGAGGUAAGUGGAAUUCCUAGUGUAGCGGUGAAAUGCGUAGAUAUUAGGAGGAACACCAGUGGCGAAGGCGGCUUACUGGACUGUAACUGACGUUGAGGCUCGAAAGCGUGGGGAGCAAACAGGAUUAGAUACCCUGGUAGUCCACGCGGUAAACGAUGAUUACUAGGUGUCGGGGGGUUAUAACCCUUCGGUGCCGCCGCAAACGCAAUAAGUAAUCCACCUGGGGAGUACGUUCGCAAGAAUG
rnacentral:rRNA from 2 species